rnacentral:rRNA from 1 species
AUUGAACGCUGGCGGCAUGCCUUACACAUGCAAGUCGAACGGCAGCACGGGUGCUUGCACCUGGUGGCGAGUGGCGAACGGGUGAGCAAUACAUCGGAACGUACCUUAUCGUGGGGGAUAACGCAGCGAAAGCUGUGCUAAUACCGCAUACGCCCUGAGGGGGAAAGCGGGGGAUCGCAAGACCUCGCGCGAUUAGAGCGGCCGAUGCCUGAUUAGCUUGUUGGUGGGGUAAAAGCCCACCAAGGCGACGAUCAGUAGCUGGUCUGAGAGGACGAUCAGCCACGCUGGGACUGAGACACGGCCCAGACUCCUACGGGAGGCAGCAGUGGGGAAUUUUGGACAAUGGGGGCAACCCUGAUCCAGCAAUGCCGCGUGAGUGAAGAAGGCCUUCGGGUUGUAAAGCUCUUUUGUCAGGGAAGAAACACCGGCUCUAACACAGUCUGGGAAUGACGGUACCUGAAGAAUAAGCACCGGCUAACUACGUGCCAGCCGCCGCCGUAA